UCGAACGGCAGCAGAACAUAGCUUGCUAUGUUGCUGGCGAGUGGCGGACUGGUGAGUAACACGUAAGAAUCUACCCUUUGAUGGAGGAUAGCUUGUGGAAACAUAUGGUAAUACUCCAUGAAGCCGUGCACUAAAUUGAGUAUAUUGCAAUUAAAGAAUGUUUAUAUUUAGAAAAAAACAUCAAAAAAGCAGUAUAUUGAAUUUAGUGCGUGGUAAAAGUCUUCGGAUGUCAAAGGAUGAGCUUGCGUCCUAUCAGCUAGUUGGUAAGGUAAGAGCUUACCAAGGCUAUGACGGGUAACCGGCCUGAGAGGGUGAUCGGUCACACUGGAACUGAGAUACGGUCCAGACUCCUACGGGAGGCAGCAGCUAAGAAUAUUCCGCAAUUGGGGGAACCCUGACGGAGCGACACUGCGUGCGGGAUGAAGGCUUUCGGGUUGUAAACCGCUUUUGGUAGGGACGAAUAAGCUUAAUGCGAUGACGGUACCUACCGAAUAAGUCCCGGCUAAUUACGUGCCAGCAGCCGCGGUAAUACGUAAGGGGCAAACGUUACUCGGAAUCACUGGGCGUAAAGGGCCCGCAGGCGGUCUUGUAAGUCAGUUGUUAAAUACUAGUGUUUAACGCUAGAGAUGCGGCUGAUACUGCGAGACUAGAAUACAGUAUAGGGUGAUGGAAUUUCCGGUGUAGGGGUGAAAUCUGUAGAGAUCGGAAAGAAUACCGAUGGCGAAGGCAAUCACCUAGUCUGAUAUUGACGCUGAGGGGCGAAAGCUAGGGUAGCGAACGGGAUUAGAUACCCCGGUAGUCCUAGCCGUAAACGAUGUAUGCUAGAUAUAGGGAGGCAAGACCUUUUUGUAUCGCAGCUAACGCGAUAAGCAUACCGCCUGGGAAGUAUGCCCGCAAGGGUGAAACUCAAAGGAAUUGACGGGGGCCGGCACAAGCGGUGGAGCAUGUGGUUUAAUUCGAUGAUACGCGAAGAACCUUACCAGGGCUUGACAUGUACCUUACAUUCUUGCGAAAGCGAGAUGGCUUUUAGCGUGGUACACAGGUGCUGCAUGGUUGUCGUCAGCUCGUGUCGUGAGAUGUUGGGUUAAGUCCCGCAACGAGCGCAACCCUUAUUCUUAGUUGCCAUCAGGUAGUGCUGGGCACUCUAAGAAGACUGCCGGUGACAAACCGGAGGAAGGUGGGGACGACGUCAAAUCAUCAUGGCCCUUACGUCCUGGGCUACACACGUGCUACAAUGGUUGCUACAAAGGGCAGCGAAUCCGCGAGGUGGUGCGAAUCUCAAAAAAGCAAUCGUAGUUCGGAUUGCAGUCUGCAACUCGACUGCAUGAAGGUGGAAUCGCUAGUAAUCGCAGAUCAGCAAUGCUGCGGUGAAUACGUUCCCCGGCCUUGUACACACCGCCCGUCACACCACCCGAAUUGGCUAUACCCGAAGAUGCUGAGCUAACCAGUAAUGGAGGCAGG
rnacentral:rRNA from 1 species